ACGAACGCUGGCGGCGUGCCUAAUACAUGCAAGUCGAGCGGACAGAUGGGAGCUUGCUCCCUGAAGUCAGCGGCGGACGGGUGAGUAACACGUGGGCAACCUGCCUGUAAGACUGGGAUAACUUCGGGAAACCGGAGCUAAUACCGGAUAACACCAAGGACCACAUGGUCCUUGGUUGAAAGAUGGCUUCGGCUAUCACUUACAGAUGGGCCCGCGGCGCAUUAGCUAGUUGGUGAGGUAACGGCUCACCAAGGCGACGAUGCGUAGCCGACCUGAGAGGGUGAUCGGCCACACUGGGACUGAGACACGGCCCAGACUCCUACGGGAGGCAGCAGUAGGGAAUCUUCCGCAAUGGACGAAAGUCUGACGGAGCAACGCCGCGUGAGCGAUGAAGGCCUUCGGGUCGUAAAGCUCUGUUGUUAGGGAAGAACAAGUACCAGAGUAACUGCUGGUACCUUGACGGUACCUAACCAGAAAGCCACGGCUAACUACGUG
rnacentral:rRNA from 1 species